rnacentral:rRNA from 1 species
UUAGGUCGGGAACUCAAAGGAGACUGCCAGUGAUAAACUGGAGGAGGGUGGGGAUGACGUCAAGUCAUCAUGGCCCUUACGACCAGGGCUACACACGUGCUACAAUGGCGCAUACAAAGAGAAGCGACCUCGCGAGAGCAAGCGGACCUCAUAAAGUGCGUCGUAGUCCGGAUUGGAGUCUGCAACUCGACUCCAUGAAGUCGGAAUCGCUAGUAAUCGUGGAUCAGAAUGCCACGGUGAAUACGUUCCCGGGCCUUGUACACACCGCCCGUCACACCAUGGGAGUGGGUUGCAAAAGAAGUAGGUAGCUUAACCUUCGGGAGGGCGCUUACCACUUUGUGAUUCAUGACUGGGGUGAAGUCGUAACAAGGUAACCGUAGGGGAACCUGCGGUUGGAUCACCUCCUUACCUGAAAGAA